GGACAGCUUUGUCGCUGAUAAGCUAACCUGAGCUGACAGAGAAUUUUAGAGGCCAUCCACAAACAUAAAAGAGGCCCUGGCGCUAUCAUUGGUUCAGACAUUCCCUGAAUGAUGGAUCAGAAAUUGGCUAUUUCCAGAGACUCCAGAAUGAAAACCAAGCUCUGAGGGAGGAGAACCACACCCUGAGGGAUAGCAAUGCACGAGCAG